AGUUUAACUCAUGUCUCCUCACUUAAAAAAUUAAUAAACUCUUAUCUUACUAGAUUAAAUGAUUAUCGGCAAGUUGUUUUUAUUAUUCUUAAGUGAAUUUAUUAUCACUUUCAGUGAGGUUAUGUAAAAUGCUCUUGUGUCUACGUCUUAUGGUGAUCCAUACAAGGAGCUGUGGAGGUGUUUAUGGAAAGCCAAAGUGCCUGGAAAGGUUAGUAUUUGUGUAUAGAGGGCCUGCAACAACCUACUCCCAACAAGAGAGAGACUUCUGACCAAGGGUUUUGAAGGAGAUAGAAGAUGCAUCCUCUGUAAUCAUCAAAUAGAAGAUGUGGCUCACCUUUUUUAAAACACGAGGCAGUACGAAGCAACCUCGCAGGCAACAACAACAAAGAUGGAAGCCUGCAGACAAUGGUGCUUUGAAAUUGAAUGUGGAUAUGCAGCCUUCUUACCCCAACAGAAUAAAGGGUCAUUGGAGGAGUUUUAAGAGAUGCUUCUGGACAGUUUAUUGCAGCUUUUGCUAGUCCAAUUGAACAUACAGCAUCUCCGAAACAAUGUGAACUGUUAGCUAUAUCUUAUAAUUACCAGACCUGACAUCACAUACUUUGUUCAUAUUCUUAGUAGAUUCAUGCAUGAGCCACGUCAACCUCACAUGGCUGCUGCACUUCGAGUUGUCAGAUAUUUGAAGUCUUCUCCUGGCCAAGGAGAUUCUCUUAUCUCAUGGCGUACCAAGAGACAAAAGACAGUAUCAUUAUCAAGCGCAGAAGCUGAAUAUAGAGCUAUGGCAUGUACAUUGUUCAAGUACAAAAUGUUGUUGUGGAGAGUGACAACACUGAGGCCGUGGCUGAAGCUCUUUGUCCAGACUACACCCUUCUAGCUAAUGGAGGCUUGAUAGAUGACAUUCAAUGUACAAUGAAAAAGAUUCCAAGUGUGCAGAUUUGUUACCAAUCUCGUUCAAGUAAUAUGGUGGC